AUUUGUAAAUCAUGUUUAAUAG
rnacentral:snRNA from 1 species